ensembl:miRNA
GGCCCAGUGGCGCAGUGGUUAGGUGCACACAUUCCGCUUUGGCAGCCUGGGGUUUGUCAGUUCAGAUCCCGGGUGUGGACGUGGUCCCGCUUGGCAAGCCAUGCUGUGGCAGGGGUCAC